AUAAGUUCUCCCGCUCGGUAAACGAGGUAAGACCCCAGAGAGAAGAUCUGGUUGAUAGGCCGGGUGUGUAAAGACAGCAAUGUCAAAGCUUACCGGUACUAAUAGGUCGAGGGCUUGACCUU
rnacentral:rRNA from 1 species